AAAUAGAUUUGAAGUGUACCAACAUAAAAAACACGAGCACCCCCAAUAUUUUUGAUUGUCGCAAAAUAAACAGUUUUUAGGCGCGAACGAUACAGUCGUGAAGAAUAUUAUUAAAUUCUACAAAAAUGGAAUUGUGGAAUACUGGUAAAACUACUAGAGUCAGAAUCACAGCACCGGCUUCGGAAUACAUUUUUAUCAAGGCCAAGGAAACAUUCGGCGGAAGUAUCAAUGUCGACCUUGCGAUGGUCUGAUAGACAGUAAUUGACAAUAAAUAGUUCAAAUCAACAUGUGGUCAUAUACCAGAAUCUAGAGAAGAGGAACUGGAUCGAUAAUCUGGAAUGUUUCAUAAAAACGGUCAGUUCGGACUUGUACAAUGAAAGGAUCAAUCAUUUUUGCCACCGUAGCCACCAGCAGGAUAGGAUUCCAUUUCGACUUGUAAAACCUAACGAUUGGUUUCUAAUGAAUCACUGAGAGGAUCGUACGGAUCAUCCGUGACUUCGUCUCUUCGCCAAAUAAUCGAAAAUAACCGCUUAUCAAAUCCGCAUUCGUUAGACCUCCGAAGCACGGUCGCAGAGAGAUAUUGUCGAUUGUUUGUUGGGCAAGGAUGGGCGUUGGCACGGAAGAACUGUUUGGAUCCGAAAAGGACGAGAUGAGUAACUAAGGGUCUGUCUCAUUUGGAGA